GGUUAAGUUAACAAGGGCGCAUGGUGAAUGCCUUGGCACUAGGAGCCGAUGAAGGACGGGACUAACACCGAUAUGCUUCGGGGAGCUGUACGUAAGCUAUGAUCCGGAGAUUUCCGAAUGGGGCAACCCAGCAGUUUUAAUCAACUGUUACCACUAGAUGAAUUCAUAGUCUAGUUGGAGGUAAACGCUGUGAACUGAAACAUCUCAUUAGCAGCAGGAAUAUAAAGAAAUUUCGAUUCCCUAAGUAGCGGCGAGCGAACGGGGAACAGCCCAAACCAAAGUGCUUGCACUUUGGGGUUGUAGGACUGAACAUUUGAGUUACCAAAGAACUUGAUAGUCGAAGGAUUUGGAAAAAUCCGCCAUAGAUGGUGAUAGCCCAGUAGAUUAAAUCAAAUUCUCUCAGUUCAGGAUCCUGAGUACGGCGGAACACGUGAAAUUCCGUCGGAAUCCGGGAGGACCAUCUCCCAAGGCUAAAUACUACCUAGUGACCGAUAGUGAACCAGUACCGUGAGGGAAAGGUGAAAAGCACCCCGGGAGGGGAGUGAAAUAGUUCCUGAAACCAUGUGCCUACAAUAAGUCAGAGCGCGUUAAUGCGUGAUGGCGUGCCUUUUGUAGAAUGAACCGGCGAGUUAUGAUCCCGUGCAAGGUUAAGACUAAAAAGUCGGAGCCGUAGCGAAAGCGAGUCUGAAAUGGGCGUUUUGAGUACGAGGUUAUAGACCCGAAACCAGGUGACCUAUCCAUGUCCAGGUUGAAGGUGCGGUAAAACGCACUGGAGGACCGAACCCGUGUAAGUUGAAAAUUGCUGGGAUGAGGUGUGGAUAGCGGUGAAAUUCCAAACGAACUUGGAGAUAGCUGGUUCUCUCCGAAAUAGCUUUAGGGCUAGCCUCGGAAUUAGGAUCAUGGAGGUAGAGCACUAUUUGGACUAGGGGCCCGUCUUGGGUUACUGAAUUCAGAUAAACUCCGAAUGCCAUUGAUUCAUAUCCGGGAGUCAGACGAUGAGUGAUAAGAUCCACCGUCGAAAGGGGAACAGCCCAGACCAUCAGUUAAGGUCCCUAAAUGUAUGCUAAGUGGAAAAGGAUGUGGAGUUGCAUAGACAACUAGGAUGUUGGCUCAGAAGCAGCCACCAUUUAAAGAGUGCGUAAUAGCUCACUAGUCGAGUGAUCCUGCGCCGAAAAUGUACCGGGGCUAAGCAUACUACCGAAACCAUGGAUGCGACCAUUAGGUCGCGUGAUAGGAGAGCGUUCUAAGGGCGGUGAAGCAAGAUCGUGAGGACUUGUGGAGCGCUUAGAAGUGAGAAUGCCGGUAUGAGUAGCGAAAGAUAGGUGAGAAUCCUAUCCACCGAAUGACUAAGGUUUCCUGGGGAAGGCUCGUCCUCCCAGGGUUAGUCGGGACCUAAGUCGAGGCCGAGAGGCGUAGACGAUGGAUAACAGGUUGAGAUUCCUGUACUAGUUAAGUGCGUUUGAGCAAUGGAGGGACGCAGGAGGCUAAGAUGUGCAUUCUGUUGGAUUAGAAUGUCCAAGCAGUAAGUCUUGUGAAGAGUCAAAUGCUUUUCACUUUAAGGACAAGCUGUGAUGGGGAGCGAAAUUUAGUAGCGAAGCGUCUGAUGUCACACUGCCGAGAAAAGCUUCUAGUGAGUACUUAACUACCCGUACCGCAAACCGACACAGGUAGUCGAGGAGAGAAUCCUAAGGUGAGCGAGUGAACUCUCGUUAAGGAACUCGGCAAAAUGACCCCGUAACUUCGGGAGAAGGGGUGCUGAUCGCAAGAUCAGCCGCAGUGAAUAGGCCCAGGCGACUGUUUAUCAAAAACACAGGUCUCUGCAAAAUCGUAAGAUGACGUAUAGGGGCUGACGCCUGCCCGGUGCUGGAAGGUUAAAAGGAUGGGUUAGCUUCGGCGAAGCUCAGAAUUGAAGCCCCAGUAAACGGCGGCCGUAACUAUAACGGUCCUAAGGUAGCGAAAUUCCUUGUCGGGUAAGUUCCGACCCGCACGAAAGGCGUAACGAUCUGGGCACUGUCUCAACGAGAGACUCGGUGAAAUUAUAUUGUCCGUGAAGAUGCGGACUACCCGCGACAGGACGGAAAGACCCCAUGGAGCUUUACUGUAGCUUGAUAUUGAGUGUUUGUACAGCUUGUACAGGAUAGGUAGGAGCCAUAGAAACCGGAACGCUAGUUUCGGUGGAGGCGUUGGUGGGAUACUACCCUCGCUGUAUGACCACUCUAACCCGCACCACUAAUCGUGGUGGGAGACAGUGUCAGGUGGGCAGUUUGACUGGGGCGGUCGCCUCCUAAAAAGUAACGGAGGCGCCCAAAGGUUCCCUCAGAAUGGUUGGAAAUCAUUCGCAGAGUGUAAAGGCACAAGGGAGCUUGACUGCGAGACAGACAGGUCGAGCAGGGACGAAAGUCGGGCUUAGUGAUCCGGUGGUACCGUAUGGAAGGGCCAUCGCUCAACGGAUAAAAGCUACCCUGGGGAUAACAGGCUUAUCUCCCCCAAGAGUCCACAUCGACGGGGAGGUUUGGCACCUCGAUGUCGGCUCAUCGCAUCCUGGGGCUGUAGUCGGUCCCAAGGGUUGGGCUGUUCGCCCAUUAAAGCGGUACGCGAGCUGGGUUCAGAACGUCGUGAGACAGUUCGGUCCCUAUCCGUCGCGGGCGUAGGAAAUUUGAGAGGACCUGUCCUUAGUACGAGAGGACCGGGAUGGACAUACCUCUGGUGUACCAGUUGUGCCGCCAGGCGCAUCGCUGGGUAGCUACGUAUGGAUGUGAUAAACGCUGAAAGCAUCUAAGUGUGAAACACACCUCGAGAUGAGAUUUCCCAUUCCUUUAUGGAAGUAAGACCCCUGAAAGAUGAUCAGGUAGAUAGGUUAGAAGUGGCAGUGCGGUGACGCAUGAAGCGGACUAAUACUAAUCGGUCGAGGACUUAACCAA
rnacentral:rRNA from 1 species